rnacentral:tRNA from 1 species
GCUGUUGUGGCCUAACAGUAGAGCGUUUGGCUAUUAAACAUAAAAAUUUUAGGAUUGUGAGUUCAAAACCCACUGUCAGCA